UAUGUGAUCGUCUCUCGCAUAUCAAUAAGCGGAGGAAAAGAAACUAACAAGGAUUCCCCUAGUAACGGCGAGUGAAGCGGGAAGAGCUCAAAUUUGAAAUCUUAAAGGGUUUCCCUUUACGAAUUGUAGUUUAAAGAAGUGUUUUCUGUUGAGGUUUUGGUAAAAGUUCUUUGGAAUAGGACAUCAUAGAGGGUGAGAAUCCCGUAUUUGACCUUUACUUUCAACUUUGUGAUACACUUUCAAAGAGUCGGAUUGUUUGGGAAUGCAGUCCAAAAUGGGUGGUAAAUUUCAUCUAAAGCUAAAUAUUGGCGAGAGACCGAUAGCGAACAAGUACCGUGAGGGAAAGAUGAAAGAACUUUGAAAAGAGAGUUAAACAGUACGUGAAAUUGUCAAAAGGGAAGCGUUUGACACCAGUGUUGUUUUUCUGAAAAUCAAUUAAAGAACUGUUUAUGCUAAGUUGUUUAGACUUUAUCAGCUAUCUGUUUAGUUUUGAGCUUUUCUUUAAUGCACUUUUCAGUUAACAAGUCAACAUCAAUUUCUUUUGCUGUAAAAAAGCUUGAGGAAGGUGGCUUGAGAUUCGUCUUAAGUGUUUAUAGCCUCUUGCCUAUGCAGUCGGAGAGAUUGAGGUCUGCAGCGUAGAUCCUUCGGGGCUAAAUGCAUUUGUGCUAAGUUAUAGCAUUUUAUAGACAACUUGUUGACUAUGAUUUGUCUUGUAGCUUACUCGCUUAUGUUAUUUUACCUACGCUUAGGAUGUUGACUGAUAUGUAGUCGUA
rnacentral:rRNA from 1 species